rnacentral:rRNA from 1 species
AUUGAACGCUGGCGGCAUGCCUUACACAUGCAAGUCGAACGGUAACACGGUAAGCUGACGGGUGGCGAGCGGGUGAGUGAUAAAUCGGAACGUGCCCAGUAGCGAGGAAUAGCCGGGCGAAAGCCGGAUUAAUACCGCAUACGACCUAAGGGGGGAAGGGGGGGAUGGGAAGACCUCUCACUAUUGGAGCGUCCGAUGUCAGAUUAGCUAGUUGGUGGGGUAAAAGCUCACCAAGGCGACGAUCUGUAGCUGGUCUGAGAGGACGACCAGCCACACUGGGACUGAGACACGGCCCAGACUCCUACGGGAGGCAGCAGUGGGGAAUUUUGGACAAUGGGCGCAAGCCUGAUCCAGCCAUGCCGCGUGCGGGAAGAAGGCCUUCGGGUUGUAAAGCGCUUUUGUCAGGGAAGAAAUCCUUUGGGUUAAUACCUCGGGGGGAUGACGGUACCUGAAGAAUAAGCACCGGCUAACUACGUG